UACAGAGGGUGCGAGCGUUGUCCGGAAUCACUGGGCGUAAAGGGCGCGUAGGCGGCUCGGUAAGGUUGCGGUGAAAGCCCGGGGCUCAACCCCGGGUCGGCCGUGGCAACUGCUGGGCUGGAGCACUGUAGAGGCAGGUGGAAUUCCGGGAGUAGCGGUGGAAUGCGUAGAGAUCCGGAAGAACACCGGUGGCGAAGGCGGCCUGCUGGGCAGUAGCUGACGCUGAGGCGCGACAGCGUGGGGAGCAAACAGG
rnacentral:rRNA from 1 species